GGGCCUUUAGCUCAGCUGGUUAGAGCGGACGGCUCAUAACCGUUAGGUCCGGGGUUCGAGUCCCUGAAGGCCCACCA
rnacentral:tRNA from 1 species